ACCAAGGCAACGAUCCAUAGCUGGUCUGAGAGGAUGAUCAGCCACACUGGGACUGAGACACGGCCCAGACUCCUACGGGAGGCAGCAGUGGGGAAUAUUGGACAAUGGGCGCAAGCCUGAUCCAGCCAUCCCGCGUGAGUGAAGAAGGCCUUAGGGUUGUAAAGCUCUUUUAGCGGGGACGAUAAUGACGGUACCCGCAGAAUAAGCCCCGGCUAACUUCGUGCCAGCAGCCGCGGUAAUACGAAGGGGGCUAGCGUUGUUCGGAAUCACUGGGCGUAAAGCGUACGCAGGCGGAUUGAUAAGUCAGGGGUGAAAUCCCGGGGCUCAACCUCGGAAUUGCCUUUGAUACUGUCUGUCUUGAGUUCGGGAGAGGUUGGCGGAAUUCCUAGUGUAGAGGUGAAAUUCGUAGAUAUUAGGAAGAACACCAGUGGCGAAGGCG
rnacentral:rRNA from 1 species